UUAGAUACAGGAUCCCAAAAAGACAAAAUCCAUCUCACGGAAAACCAAAUGCUUACGCUUGCCACGUUUUAGCUUAGGAAGGGUUGGUUUAUAUAAUGGACUUAUAGAGACGAUAAAGUCCGUCUUUACAAGUAUAACCAUCACCAUAGUACGCAAUAUUAGCAGCGGCUGUUACUGAAACGCUACCGCAGCGUUCAUGACGCGACUAGAGCCUCGUCACAAGUUCAACAUAAAAUUCAAUCCUUCUACUUCACGGCUCGAGUCUCAGAAACAGAGAGAUAAGACAUUAAGUGGGGCUAAAAAUUCUCUGUUCCUUAAUGGUGAUCCUAUGCCAGUCCAUCUGACGACUCCUUUCCCUUGCGUUAUCCGCGCACCACAAGGCACAAACACCUCCACAGAUAACCAGAAAUGGCAAUUGCUCUCAAAAUACCAAGUUUCAAGUUUCCUUCACCAAAUCAUCUUAGAAUCCGAACUACACCCCAAGUCACAUCCCCUUCGUUUAUCCCUAUAUCCCAAAUCUCACCAUCCCAAGCUACAUCAAAAGCCCCUUUGAAUUCCCUCCAGAAAAGCACCACCCUUUCUGAAAACAGAAAGUACAAGAUUGACGCCACUUUACCAACCAUGUCAGAGAUAUUGCAGUCCUCGAAGGCCCAGAACCUCGACCUCCAGCUCCAAACUCUCGGACCCUUUUUCAGGAUCACAGCCAAGAGCUUGGAAACCCAAAAAGAGCUUGGGAAGGCUGAGGGCCUGAUAAGGGUCUGGCUGAGAGGGAGAAUUCUUCACUUGGAUUCCAUUAGAUUGAGGAGAGAGACACUGGGAAUGGAGAAAUCAAUCUUUGGUAUUGGUUUGUUCAUUGGAGCUGUUGCUGUAAGGUAUGGAUAUGAUUGUGGUUGCAAGACAGCUGAGUUACUGGCAAUCAAUGACUCUGAUCUUUACCACUCGAAGGUUUUUGUCCUCCCUGCAAUCGUUUACGUUAUGUGCUAUUGUUGUAUUUAAUUCAAAAGUGAUGGUAACUAAGUAUAUCUUCACUUGUCAGCCAGUUGAUAUUUCGCCGUUUAAGUAGUCUCUUUUGCUCAGCCCGUUUGGAAAGGAAACGGUAAAAUGGUUAGGAAGAUGUUGUUAAAGGAAAGCAGAAAAUCAAACUUGGUUUCAUCACAGACUUUAACUUUAGUAUUAGUUCGAAGUUGGCAUAAGUCAAGCGCAAGCUUGUUAGGUUCUACACCAGAAUUGGGUUCAAGGCUGUACAUGAAGUGACGGGUACAGCAUUUGGAGAUUAUGCCCACAUGUUGGUUUGGGGAGGCAUUGGUACCCGAAUGGAUGCCAAUGUUGAAGCGCUUCUAAUAAGAUGGUGCACCAGGUUCAAAUCUCGGAAGUGAUUUCACUCUGAUCCAUGGUUGAGAAGAUUUUCAUCAAGACCAUUGAUUGAAUAUUACUUUUUCUUAUAAAUUCUAUGAAGCAUAGGCUAGAGAGCUUUUGGAAAUUAUGCUUAUCCAACUGUAGAAAAUUAUUCUGUGAAUGGUUGGUAGCACUGGUCCGAAGCAUCGCCCCGGCCAAUCAGCUUGUAGUUGAACUUUCUGAAUGAGUUUUACUCCAGCUAUCAAGUAUGCAACGAAAACUCCGGGGUUGAGCUGAGGGAACAGUACUUUAUACAGCUGGCUGACACGAACCAGGCUGCGAGGAACAAAGAGAUUCGGCUUUGUACAGUUCUCUCUUAAUGGGGGUGAUGCUCAUCCGUACAUUUCUUUUGCAAUUUGUGUCAUGUUGAAGAGAAGGAUUCAAAGGCAUCUGAGCCAUAAGAACAUGAGCUCCAUACCAAGUCCUAGAGUAUCUAGACUUAUUUGAUGGUAGUAACCUAUAUUUGUCCAAGCUCUGCAAGUAUUUUUAAAGCCUUUUCUUAUUGUUUAUAUUUUUGAGAUGCUUAGCUGGUGCGGAUCACCACGAACAAUAUGCUAAAUUUUGUUACUUUAUGCUUAAGUAGAUUAUAUUCAAGAAAAUUGACUAUCAGUAGCCAUUGAACGGA